rnacentral:pre_miRNA from 1 species
AUUCUACUCCCUCUGUUGCACAAUACAUGCCUUCUAUUUGUCAAAAUAUAUAUGUAUCUAGACAUGUUUUAGUAUAUAGGUACAUCCAUUUUUGGACAAAUGGAAGUCAAGUAUUUUGGAAUGGAGGGAGUACACA